rnacentral:rRNA from 1 species
CCUACGGGAGGCUGCAGUAGGGAAUCUUCCGCAAUGGACGAAAGUCUGACGGAGCAAUGCCGCGUGAGUGAAGAAGGUUUUCGGAUCGUAAAACUCUGUUGUUAGAGAAGAACAAGGAUGAGAGUAACUGCUCAUCCCCUGACGGUAUCUAACCAGAAAGCCACGGCUAACUACGUGCCAGCAGCCGCGGUAAUACGUAGGUGGCAAGCGUUGUCCGGAUUUAUUGGGCGUAAAGCGAGCGCAGGCGGUUCUUUAAGUCUGAUGUGAAAGCCCCCGGCUCAACCGGGGAGGGUCAUUGGAAACUGGAGAACUUGAGUGCAGAAGAGGAGAGUGGAAUUCCAUGUGUAGCGGUGAAAUGCGUAGAUAUAUGGAGGAACACCAGUGGCGAAGGCGACUCUCUGGUCUGUAACUGACGCUGAGGCUCGAAAGCGUGGGGAGCA